rnacentral:rRNA from 1 species
UUGAACGCUAGCGGCAUGCUUUACCCAUGCAAGUCGAACGGCAACGAGGAGAAGCUUGCUUCUCUGUCGGCGAGUGGCGAACGGGUGAGUAUAGCAUCGGAACGUGCCAAGUAGUGGGGGAUAACCAAACGAAAGUUUGGCUAAUACCGCGUAAGCUCCAAGGAGGAAAGUAGGGGACCUAAAUAAGGCCUUACGCUAUUUGAUCGGCCGAUGUCGGAUUAGCUAGUUGGUGGGGUAAUGGCUCACCAAGGCAAUGAUCCGUAGCGGGUCUGAGAGGACGAUCCGCCACACUGGGACUGAGACACGGCCCAGACUCCUACGGGAGGCAGCAGUGGGGAAUUUUGGACAAUGGGGGAAACCCUGAUCCAGCCAUGCCGCGUGUAUGAAGAAGGCCUUAGGGUUGUAAAGUACUUUUGUUAGGGAAGAAAAGCUAGUUUUUAAUAAAAAUUAGUGAUGACGGUACCUAAAGAAUAAGCACCGGCUAACUACGUG